CUCGGCGUCCCACGCUGCUCCCCUCCCCCACUGUCGCGAAGCUCCCGCCCAAGCCGACCACGUGCCGCGAGCCCGGCGGGGAGAGCCCACUCCCGCGCCCCUUCCGGGCCCACUACCCCGCCGGGCUGUGGCCCAUCGCCCCAGUGCCUGGUAGCCUAGUUUUCUCGUUUGUCGUUUGUUCACUUAUUUAUUAUUAUUAUUAUUAUUUUGACUCGUAAUGGGUAUGAGGUGUAAGGGGGCCUAUUACGGAUGUUAAGGGGAGAGGGCACCGCUCGGGUUUUAAUAAGCAUCUGUGGAGCUCAUUUAUAAGAUUGGCAUCCUCUGCUUCUGCAGAAAACAUGGCUACCAACAGCUUCUGUAUCCACCUGCGGAGGAGACUGACUGCUCUGUUAUUCCCCCAGCAUCUGUGAAGAGGCUCUGACUGGCUAAAGUGUUGGUAUAGUGAUCACCCCAGGGUUAGGCAACCAUGGCUGGUGAAAAGGAAAAACGUUAUGAACCUGGCUGUGCGGAGCUACCUGAGGAAGCUUGUAGGAGAAGGGAAGGAGUCUGUAGCUUUAGGGGAAGACAGAGCCACAAGAUGGAAGGAGCUUGGAUGUCUGAACUAUUCCAUGGAGAAAAGCUGCAGCCAACGAAGAACACCUGCAAUGGACUCUUAACCUGGGGGUGACGACAACCACUGAAAUAUGCUGCAUCUUAGUCCAGGGAUUUUUAAAGUGUGGUUCCUGGAAGAGCUGGAUCAGAGUCAUCUGUGUUGAUGGUUUAACAUAAAGAUUUUCGAGCCCCAAGACUCAAGUAGGACAAGGAAUUUGAAUUUUUAAGCAGCUCACCUGACUUGUCUGUCCUCUAAUGUCUGAAGACAUCUGACCUCUGCUCUUUCAGUAAAAGCAACAAUGGUUUUAUGAGCAUUGUCGUCACAUCUCUCCACUCAAGGGAUCCUUCUCAUUUCUCCCAGCUGAGGUCACCCACAGCUGCUGCUUCUAACUGCUGGCUUCCAGCCUGCUGUCUGCCAGCUGGCUCUACCCUCUCCUAUAACACGGCAGAGAGUAGCUGUGGUCUCCUGCGUGCUCACCCUCUGCUCCCUUGGUCCUGCUCCAUGCUUUGGUCCUGCACUUAAAUUUUACAAGCAUACUCUCUUUCUCUUAAGAUGAAGGAGCUGAGGCUGGAGAAGUUAAGAGACCCCUGCUAGAUAGGAAGGCACGUGAGAAGUAUACUGCUCUGUCUCCUGUGGAGUAAAAAGACUUUGGCGUUCUCAGAAGAAAACCAAAUGAGAUCACACGAAUGAGACUGCUGGGGAUAGGGAAGCUUAAGGGAGGAGUGCUGUGAAGAAUGUUGUCAUUUCUUCUGGACUGCUACUAAGUAAAAGUUAUCUUCUCACCUCACUCACCAAUUCCUGCCUUAGUACCACAGCAAUUAUCUUUGCCUAAACACAUUAACGGGGAAAAAUGUUCAGGCUUUUGGAGAAGAGCUACAAGUGGUGGACGGUGGCCACAGUGAAGAGUGGGGUAACUUAGACUAAACACUAUAGGAGCCAUCAGAAGAAAUUUUUCCAAACUGCAGCUUAUUACAUGGGUCACACAAGGACAGUUUGCAGCAUAAGGACAGCUAGCUGCUUAUACAAGAACAUGUGCCUGACACAGUCUCACAAGCCCAGUCCAAAACUACAAGGGCCUAACUGUAACUCCAGGAUUACAAGUCCUACCUAAUAACUAUUGACACUCGCCAGUCAGAACUCACCAGCUCUUUUGUUGCUGCCAGCACCAAUAAGCUUUCUUCCAAAACCAACGCAUAGCCUCCGCCUUUCCCAAUAAACUCUAACCUUUUCCUUUAUUCUGUGGACACUCCAGAGGCCAAUCUGGUCUGUAUAUAUGUCCCAGAUUGCAG
rnacentral:lncRNA from 10 species